UAAAAGAUUCAUGCUUCUCCAUACAAAUGGAAUCAAAUUGGCUUGUAAGCAUUUGGAGCUUUUGAAUUUUUAUUAGACUUGUUUCUUCAUGUGUAACUAGUAACAUAUCCCAAAUCUCUAUCGCUGUUUCACACGUAGAAACUCGUGUGAACUUAGUUGGGAAAAGUGCGUUAAAUAAAGCAUUUGUACAUUUCCCAUUGUAAAAAAAAUCUUC
rnacentral:lncRNA from 1 species